UACGUAGGGGGCAAGCGUUGUCCGGAAUCAUUGGGCGUAAAGAGCGUGUAGGCGGCUAGAUAGGUCCGUUGUGAAAACUCGAGGCUCAACUGCGGGCUUGCAGCCGAUACGGGCAGGCUAGAGUUCGGUAGGGGAGACUGGAAUUCCUGGUGUAGCGGUGAAAUGCGCAGAUAUCAGGAGGAACACCGGUGGCGAAGGCGGGUCUCUGGGCCGAUGACUGACGCUGAGGAGCGAAAGCGUGGGGAGCGAACAGG
rnacentral:rRNA from 1 species